rnacentral:rRNA from 1 species
GAUGAACGCUGGCGGCGUGCUUAACACAUGCAAGUCGAACGGAAAGGCUCCUGCUUGCAGGGGUACUCGAGUGGCGAACGGGUGAGUAACACGUGGGUGAUCUGCCCUGCACUUCGGGAUAAGCCUGGGAAACUGCGUCUAAUACCGGAUAGGACGAUGGUUUGGAUGCCAUUGUGGAAAGUUUUUCGGUGUGGGAUGAGCUCGCGGCCUAUCAGCUUGUUGGUGGGGUAAUGGCCUACCAAGGCGUCGACGGGUAGCCGGCCUGAGAGGGUGUACGGCCACAUUGGGACUGAGAUACGGCCCAGACUCCUACGGGAGGCAGCAGUGGGGAAUAUUGCACAAUGGGCGCAAGCCUGAUGCAGCGACGCCGCGUGGGGGAUGACGGCCUUCGGGUUGUAAACUCCUUUCGCUAGGGACGAAGCGCAAGUGACGGUACCUGGAGAAGAAGCACCGGCUAACUACGUG